AAGAGGUGUAUAAACAGUUAGAGCUGCUAACUCCUACAACUAAGAAUAAAAUCCUUAGACCUCUUAC
rnacentral:tRNA from 1 species